rnacentral:tRNA from 1 species
GGAGAUUUGGUGUAGGUGGUUAUUGCACGGCAGUCUGAAAAACUGUAGGCUUUGAUUCGAUUUCAAAAAUCUCCG